CCUACGGGUGGCAGCAGUGGGGAAUAUUGGGCAAUGGGCGCAAGCCUGACCCAGCAACGCCGCGUGAAGGAAGAAGGCUUUCGGGUUGUAAACUUCUUUUAUGAGGGACGAAGAAAUGACGGUACCUCAGGAAUAAGCCCCGGCUAACUACGUGCCAGCAGCCGCGGUAAUACGUAGGGGGCAAGCGUUAUCCGGAUUUAUUGGGUGUAAAGGGCGCGUAGGCGGGAAUGCAAGUCAGAUGUGAAAACUAUGGGCUCAACCCAUAGCCUGCAUUUGAAACUGUGUUUCUUGAGUGCUGGAGAGGCAAGCGGAAUUCCUAGUGUAGCGGUGAAAUGCGUAGAUAUUAGGAGGAACACCAGUGGCGAAGGCGGCUUGCUGGACAGUAACUGACGCUGAGGCGCGAAAGCGUGGGGAGCAAACAGGAUUAGAUACCCGAGUAGUC
rnacentral:rRNA from 1 species